rnacentral:ncRNA from 21 species
GAACAUCGACUAUGGUGAACUUGGUGAAAUUCCAAGACUGUCCCGCAACGGUUAAAGUCCGACCCCAGUAUGUUUUUCCCGAGGAGGCAAAAUGAAGAGAUCUAUUCUAUUCACAACACUAUUAAU